rnacentral:rRNA from 1 species
UACGGAGGGUGCGAGCGUUGUCCGGAAUCACUGGGCUUAAAGGGCGCGUAGGCGGGCAUCAUAGCCAAGGGUGAAAGCCCCCGGCUCAACCGGGGAAGGGCCUUUGGAACUGGAUGCCUCGAGGGGUGCAGGGGCGUGCGGAACUCAGGGUGGAGCGGUGAAAUGCGUAGAUAUCUGGAGGAACACCGGUGGCGAAGGCGGCAUCCUGGACCGACACUGACGCUGAGGAGCGAAAGCCAGGGGAGCAAACGGG